AUUGUACUCCCUCCGUCCGGAAAUACUUGUCGGAGAAAUGGAUAAAAAUGGAUGUAUCUACAACACAAAUACAUCUAGAUAAAUCCGUUUCUGUGACAAGUAUUUUCGGACGGAGGGAGUACUAC
rfam:Triticum aestivum genome assembly, contig: Triticum_aestivum_CS42_TGACv1_scaffold_344734_4DL